GACGAACGCUGGCGGCGUGCCUAAUACAUGCAAGUUGAGCGCUUAAGGUUGGUACUUGUACCAACUGGAUGAGCAGCGAACGGGUGAGUAACGCGUGGGGAAUCUGCCUUUGAGCGGGGGACAACAUUUGGAAACGAAUGCUAAUACCGCAUAAAAACUUUAAACACAAGUUUUAAGUUUGAAAGAUGCAAUUGCAUCACUCAAAGAUGAUCCCGCGUUGUAUUAGCUAGUUGGUGAGGUAAAGGCUCACCAAGGCGAUGAUACAUAGCCGACCUGAGAGGGUGAUCGGCCACAUUGGGACUGAGACACGGCCCAAACUUCUACGGGAGGCAGCAGUAGGGAAUCUUCGGCAAUGGACGAAAGGCUGACCGAGCAACGCCGCGGGAGGGAAGAAGGGUGUCGGAUCGUAAAACUCGGUUGGUAGAGAAGAACGUUGGUGAGAGUGGAAAGCUCAUCAAGUGACGGUAACUACACAGAAAGGGACGGCUAACUACGUG
rnacentral:rRNA from 1 species